UACAGAGGCCUCAAGCGUUACCCGGAAUCACUGGGCGUAAAGCGUGUCUAGGUGGUUUAGUUAGUCUUCUGUUAAAGCCUUGGGCUCAACCCAAGGAGUGCGGAGGAAACGGCUAGACUAGAGAGUGCGAGAGGUGUACGGAACUCUAGGUGUAGGGGUGAAAUCCGUUGAUAUCUAGGGGAACACCAAAGGCGAAGGCAGUACACUGGCGCACUUCUGACACUCACACACGAAAGCGUGGGUAGCGAAUGGG
rnacentral:misc_RNA from 1 species